rnacentral:lncRNA from 10 species
GGGAAGCCCCCGGCCGCACUCCGUCAGCUGGGGCGGCGGCUGCUUCCUCCGCCUGAGCCAGACCUGCGCCGCAGUCCUGUCCUGCCUGCCGGGCUCGCCGAGUCGCCGCGCGGCUCCCGGUGCUGGCGUGGGUGGGCGCCCGCGGCCUGCCCCGAAACCCAAGAGUCCUCGCUGGUCUUUCGCAGACUCUGACCCGCUUCCGAGCCAGGCCCAAGGUGCAGUCCCCGUGGGAGGGCUGGGGCCCAGGCACCGUCUGGUCUCCGAUUUCUGUUCGGGAACUGCUCAGGGAUUCGAUGGGGAGAGAGGAGACCCCCGAAGUUCCUCCCUAAGGCCACACUGAGCAGGCCCCCAGCCCUGCCUUUACUCGCCCGCCAAGCCUGGGGGGUGGCCUCUGCGCCCACAUAGUCGCAGUCCUAGGACCGCCUUUGGUCGUGGUGCACGGUUUCACCGUAACGUGUGUCAGUCCCCACUCCGCAUUCCUCAGUUGUCAUCUUUGUAGGGUGAUUUCUCCCCGAUCUGUGUCCUUUUUCCGCUGCUUGUGCUGUAGUGAAACCGACCCAUCUGCAGUCGCUGUAUUUCUUGAAUUUUUGUGAGGCAUUCUUUUUUAACUCUUGUUGCCCAGGCUGGAGUGUAAUGGCGCGAUUUCGGCCCACUGCAACCUCCGCCUCCAGGAUUCAAGCGAUUCUCCUGCCUCAGCCUCCCGAGUAGCUGAGAUUACAGGCGCCCGCCACCACGCCCGGCUAAUUUUUUGUAUUUUUAGUAGAAACGGGGUUUCACCACGUUAGCCAGGCUGGUCCCGAACUCCUGACCUCAGGUGAUCCGCCUGCCUCGGCCUCCCAAAGUGCUAGAGCCGCUUUUUUUUUUUUUCUUUUUUAAUUUUUUUAAAAAAUAGAGACAAGGUCUCACUAUGUUGCCUAGGCUGGUCUCGAACUCCUGGGCCCAAGUGAUCCUCCCACUUCGGCCUCCCAAAGUGCUGGGAUCACAGGAGUGAGCCAUCCCACCCGACCCAAGCACCUGUACUUUGUCACUCUCCCAUUUCUGGCUAGACCAGGACUCCCUUUGACAUCUCUAACCUUGCAGAGGUGUGACUCUGCCAGAGCACUCUUAGAUGUCGUACAGGUGCAUUUGAAGCCUUGUAUUUUCUCUUAAAAGAUAACUGGCGGGUAAUGGAGCGUGCUGACUCUAUUGCUAAAGAGAAAGAAUAGGCUGGGCGCGGUGGCUCACGCCUGGGAGCCACUUUGGGAGGCCGAGGCAGGUGGAUUACCUGAGGUCAGGAGUUUGAGACCAGCCUGGCCAACAUGACGAAACCCCGUCCCUACUAAAAAUACAAAAAUUAGCUGGGUGUGGUGGCACGCGCCUGUAGUCCCAGCUACUCAGGAGGCUGAGGCAGGAGAAUCUCUUGAACCCGGGAGGUGGAGGUGGCAGUGAGCCGAGAUCGAGCCACUCUACUCCAGCCUGGGUGACAGAGCGAGACUCCGUUCCCCCCCAAAAAAAAUAAUAAAAGAGAAAGAACUGAGAUUUGUUUGUUAGUUAUAAACAGCAACAACAGAUCCGGGAAAAGACCACCACAGCUUUAUCCAGACUUGGAAAGAAAAAUUGUGUGAGACCUUAAAGGGCUACAAGAACCCUACAAAGUUUUUCUUAGCCCAAGUUUUAAUGACUUUGUUAAAAUUUCUGUUGUUAAUUUGUUGUGUGCCUACAGGCCCUGACAGGAAUACUAGAAACCCAUUGUAAAUUAAGGUCUUGAAGACAUAUUUAUCAAUCAUUCAAUAAAAGUAUUGAUAUUUACCAGGUUCUGUUUUAAACAGAAGAGACAUAAUAACAGAGUCAAAUAAACCCCUAGUUAGGGAAUAAUAUGCAAGUCAACAAAUAAAUACAUCAAGAAGUCUCAGGGCCAGUCGAGGUGGCUCUAGCCUGUAAUCCCAGCACUUUGGGAGGCCGAGGUGGGAGAAUCACCUAAGGUCAGGAGUUAGAGACCAGCCUGGCCAACAUGGUGAAACCCUGUCUCUACUAAAAAUACAAAAAAAUUAGCCGGGCGUGGUGGCGGGUACCUGUAGUCCCAGCUACUCAGGAGGCUGAGGCAGGAGAAUGGAUUGAACCCGGGAGGUGGAGGUAGCAGUGAGCCAAGAUCGUGCCUCCAGCCUGGGCAACAAAGUGAGAGUUUAUCUCAAAAAAAAAAAAAAAAGUUUCACGUAUCCGCCAGGCGGGGUGGCUUAGGUCUGUAAUCCCAGCACUUUGGGAGGCCAAGGCAGCCGGAUCACUUGAGUCCAGGAAUUCCAGACCAGCCUGGCCAACAUGGUGAAACGUCUCUACAAAAAAUACAAAAGUAAGCUAGGCGUGGUGGCACAUGCCUUUAGUCCCAGCUACUCUGGAGGCUGAGGGGGGAGGAUUACCUGAGCCCAUACAUGGAGGUUGCAGUGAGCUGAGAUGGCGCCACUGCAUACCAGCCUGGGUGACAGAGCGAGACCCUAUCUCAUAAUAAAUUAGUAAAAAAUGCUGCAUUGAAAAAAGUCUCUGGCCGGGCAUGGUGGCUCAUGCCUGUAAUCCCAGCACUUUGGGAGGCCGAGGUGGGUGGAUUACCUGAGGUCAGGAGUUCAAGACCAGCCCAGCCAACAUGGCAAAACCCCAUCUCUACUCAAAAUACAAAAUUUAGCCGGGUGUGGUGGCUUGCACCUGUAAUCCCAGCUACUUGGGAGGCUGAGGCAGGAGAAUUGCUUGAACCCGGGACGUGACAGUUGCAGUGAGCCAAGAUUGUGCCAUUGCACUCCAGCCUGAGUGACAGAGUGAAACUCUGUCUCAAAAAAAAAAAAACAGUCUCAGGUAUCAAUAAGUGUUGUGAAGAAAACAAGGUAAUGAGAUUGAGGGGAGAAGGAGGCAACAGUAAAUUGGGUGAUUAAAUAAGACUUCUGUGAAGAGUGACAUUUAAGCUGAAGUCCUUUAAAUGGUCCUACAUGAUCUACUUCCCCAUCCAAUUUACAUGUACCUUCUAACAUAUUUUUUCUAAGUUGGGCAUGUGGUCCCAGCUACUCAGGAAGCUAAGGAGGUGGGAGAAUCCCUUGAACCUGGGAAUUCGAGGCUGCAGUGAGCUGAAAUUGCACCACUGCACUCCAGCCUGAGUGACAGAGCAAGACCCUAUCUCCUAACAAACAAACAUAUUUUGACAUUUACUUGUGUAUUAGGAUUAUUGUUUUUUGUAUGUCCUCAGCAAGAAAAGGGAAUUUUGAUUUGUUUAUUGGUAACAAAAACUGGUACAUUGUAUGUGCUCAUUAUGUGUUGAGUAAAUAAAUUUGGAGCUUACUGAGCAAGCAGAAAGUAGUAAGAGAUGUCAGAGAGGCAGGCAGGGGCCAGAGCAUGCAGGGAUUUUAUUACAGAUCUUAUGGGAAGGCAUUGAAGGUUAUUAUUUUUUUUCUUUUGUAUGGUCUUGCUCUCUUGCCCAGGCUGGAGUGCAGUGGUGUAAUCUCAGCUCACUGCAGCCUCCAACUCCUGGAUUCAAGCGAUUCUCCUUCUGCAGCCUCUCCUGUAGCUGGGAUUAUAGGCACCCGCCACCAACGCCUGGGUAAGUUUUUGUAUUUUUAGUUCAGGUAUCCUCCAGGAAGGGUGGCUUGCGCCUGUAAUCCCAGCACUUUGGAAGGCCAAAGCGGGCAGAUCACUUGAGGUCAGGAGUUCAAGACCAGCCUGACCAACAUGGUGAAACCUCAUCUCUACCAAAAAUAUAAAAAAUUAGCCAGGUGUCGUGGUUCGCGCCUGUAAUCCCAGCUACUUGGG